CGCGGCCUAUCAGCUUGUUGGUGAGGUAACGGCUCACCAAGGCGACGACGGAUAGCUGGCCUGAGAGGGUGAACAGCCACACUGGGACUGAGAUACGGCCCAGACUCCUACGGGAGGCAGCAGUAGGGAAUAUUGCGCAAUGGGCGAAAGCCUGACGCAGCGACGCCGCGUGAGGGAUGAAGGCUUUCGGGUCGUAAACCUCUUUUGGCAGGGAAGAAGCGAAAGUGACGGUACCUGCAGAAUAAGCCCCGGCCAACUACGUGCCAGCAGCCGCGGUAAUACGUAGGGGGCGAGCGUUGUCCGGAUUCAUUGGGCGUAAAGAGCUCGUAGGCGGUUUGACAAGUCGGCGGUGAAAGCCUGGGACCCAACUCCGGGACGCCCGUCGAUACUGUCAUGACUCGAGUCCGGUAGAGGAGUGUGGAACUCCUGGUGUAGCGGUGAAGUGCGCAUAUAUCAGGAAGAACACCGGUGGCGAAGGCGGCACUCUGGGCCGGUACUGACGCUGAGGAGCGAAAGCUAGGGGAGCAAACAGGAUUAGAUACCCUGGUAGUCCUAGCCGUAAACGAUGGGCACUAGGUGUGGGGAGGUAUUGACCCUUUCCGCGCCGUAGCUAACGCAUUAAGUGUCCCGCCUGGGGAGUACGGA
rnacentral:rRNA from 1 species